rnacentral:rRNA from 1 species
GGAGUUAGCCGGUGCUUCUUCUGUGAGUGAUGUCCUUCCUGCCGGUUAUUGACCCGCAGGCCUUCUUCCUCACUGAAAGUGCUUUACAACCCGAAGGCCUUCUUCACACACGCGGCAUGGCUGGAUCAGGGUUGCCCCCAUUGUCCAAUAUUCCCCACUGCUGCCUCCCGUAGGAGUCUGGGCCGUGUCUCAGUCCCAGUGUGGCUGAUCAUCCUCUCAGACCAGCUACGGAUCGUCGCCUUGGUGAGCCGUUACCUCACCAACCAGCUAAUCCGACAUAGGCUCAUCCGAUAGCGCGAGGCCCGAAGGUCCCCCGCUUUCCCCCGUAGGGCGUAUGCGGUAUUAGCCUGGGUUUCCCCAGGGUUAUCCCCCACUACCGGGCAGAUUCCUAUGCAUUACUCACCCGUCCGCCGCUCGCCACCAGGGAGCAAGCUCCCCGUGCUGCCGCUCGACUUGCAUGUGUAGCUCGCCGCCACGCGUCAUCUGAGCCAGAAUACAACUACUGA